UGGACUUGUGGCCAAUUUUGCCACAAUUGAAGCAUUUUCCCUUGAACUUUUUCUUGGGUUGAUUGCUUCCAUGUUCAACUUUCUUUCUUUUCUUCGAGUUGUUUUGGCCAUCUUCUACAAUAUGUGCUCCAUUCAUUGUAGAAUUUCCCUUUGACCUUCUUUCGGCAGCUUUAUUGUCCUCUUCAAUACGAAGUCGGACAAUAAGAUCUUCAACGGU
rnacentral:lncRNA from 1 species